UACAGAGGCCUCGAGCGUUAGGCGGAAUCACUGGGCUUAAAGCGUGUGUAGGCGGAGGGCUAAGUACCUUGUGAAAUCCCACGGCUUAACCGUGGAAUUGCUUGGUAUACUGGUUCUCUUGAGCCAUCUAGGGGCUACCGGAACAAAUGGUGGAGCGGUGAAAUGCGUAGAUAUCAUUUGGAACGCCAACGGUGAAAACAGGUAGCUGGGGAUGUGCUGACGCUGAGACACGAAAGCCAGGGGAGCAAACGGG
rnacentral:rRNA from 1 species